UACGAAGGGGGCAAGCGUUGUUCGGAAUUACUGGGCGUAAAGGGCGCGUAGGCGGCUUAUCAAGUCAGGCGUGAAAUUCCCGGGCUCAACCUGGGGGCUGCGCUUGAUACUGAUUGGCUUGAAUGCGGGAGAGGAUAGUGGAAUUCCCAGUGUAGAGGUGAAAUUCGUAGAUAUUGGCUAGAACACCAGUGGCGAAGGCGGCCAACUGGUCCGGUACUGACGCUGAGGUGCGAAAGCGUGGGGAGCAAACAGG
rnacentral:rRNA from 1 species